rnacentral:ncRNA from 1 species
UACCCAGUUUCGGGGGCCUUGGUACAGGCAGGCCGGGGAUUCCCCUCUUUACACCCGGGGUUCAUCACGCAGACCGCGACGAACCCCCUCCCGUUUUGGGGAACCUUGGUACAGGCAGGCCGGGGAUUCCCUCUUUUAUUGCUCCUGGAGAUGGAUCUCCAACCGCCAGCGGUCAUUGACCUCGCUGCCGGCCC